CCUACGGGUGGCAGCAGUGGGGGAUAUUGCACAAUGGGGGGAACCCUGAUGCAGCGACGCCGCGUGGGUGAAGGAGCGUUUCGGCGCGUAAAGCCCUAUCGGCAGGGAAGAAGAAGGACGGUACCUGACUAAGAAGCCCCGGCUAACUCCGUGCCAGCAGCCGCGGUAAUACGUAGGGGGCAAGCGUUAUCCGGAUUUACUGGGUGUAAAGGGGGCGCAGACGGGAGCGCAAGCCAGGAGGGAAAGCCCGGGGCCCAACCCGGGAACUGCUCUUGAAACGGGGCGGCUGGAGUGCGGGAGGGGGAGGUGGAAUUCGUGGUGUAGGGGGGAAAGGCGUAGAGAUCAGGAGGAACACCGGUGGCGAAGGCGGCCCGCUGGACUACGACUGACGCGGAGGCGCGAAAGCGUGGGGAGCAAACAGGAUUAGAUACCCCAGUAGUC
rnacentral:rRNA from 1 species